rnacentral:rRNA from 1 species
AUCUAAGACCACAACAGUCUGAAAACACCUGAUCUUGUCUGAUCAGAAACUAAGCAGAGUUAGGCCUAGCUACAACUUGGACGGGAGAUCACCCAGAAAUAACAGUGAUCUAAUUG